rnacentral:tRNA from 1 species
GCGGGAGUAGCUCAAAGGUAGAGUCCCGGCCUUCCAAGCCGGUCGUGCGGGUUCGAUUCCCGUCUCCCGCUCCA